rnacentral:rRNA from 1 species
ACGUAGGGCGCAAGCGUUGUCCGGAAUUAUUGGGCGUAAAGAGCUCAGCGUUGUUGCGUCUGCGUGAAGACCCGGGGCUCAACCCCGGGUCUGCAGUGGGUACGGGCAGACUAGAGUGCAGUAGGGGAGACUGGAAUUCCUGGUGUAGCGGUGAAAUGCGCAGAUAUCAGGAGGAACACCGAUGGCGAAGGCAGGUCUCUGGGCUGUUACUGACGCUGAGGAGCGAAAGCAUGGGGAGCGAACAGGAUUAGAUACCCGGGUAGUCC